CCUGGUUGAUUCUGCCAUUAGUCAUAUGCUUGUCUCAAAGAUUAAGCCAUGCAUGUCUAAGUAUAAGCAACUUUGUACUGUGAAACUGCGAAUGGCUCAUUAAAUCAGUUAUAGUUUAUUUGAUGGUUUUUGCUACAUGGAUAACUGUGGUAAUUCUAGAGCUAAUACAUGCAUUCAAGCCCCGACUUCUGGAAGGGGUGUAUUUAUUAGAUAAAAAUCAACUUUGUUGGUGAAUCAUAAUAACUUCUCGGACCGCAUGGCCUCGUGCUGGCGGUGCUUCAUUCAAAUAUCUGCCCUAUCAACUGUCGAUGGUAGGAUAGAGGCCUACCAUGGUUGCAACGGGUAACGGGGAAUAAGGGUUCGAUUCCGGAGAGGGAGCCUGAGAAACGGCUACCACAUCCAAGGAAGGCAGCAGGCGCGCAAAUUACCCAAUCCCAACACGGGGAGGUAGUGACAAUAUGUAACAAUAUACGGCCUUAUACGUCGUAUAAUUGGAAUGAGUACAAUUUAAAUCCCUUAACGAGGAACAAUUGGAGGGCAAGUCUGGUGCCAGCAGCCGCGGUAAUUCCAGCUCCAAUAGCGUAUAUUAAAGUUGUUGCAGUUAAAAAGCUCGUAGUUGGACCUUGGACCUGGACAGGCGGUCCGCCUCACGGCGAGUACUGUCUUGCUGGGUCUUUCCUCUUGGUGAUCUGUUGUUUCGGCAGCAGGGAACCAGGACCUUUACUUUGAAAAAAUUAGAGUGUUCAAAGCAGCUCGACGCCGGAAUAUAUUAGCAUGGAAUAAUAAAAUAGGACGUGCGGUUCUAUUUUGUUGGUUUUUGGAAUCGCCGUAAUGAUUA
rnacentral:rRNA from 1 species